UUAAGUUAUUAAGGGCGCACGGUGGAUGCCUUGGCACUAGAAGCCGAUGAAGGACGUUACUAACGACGAUAUGCUUUGGGGAGCUGUAAGUAAGCUUUGAUCCAGAGAUUUCCGAAUGGGGAAACCCAGCAUGAGUUAUGUCAUGUUAUCGAUAUGUGAAUACAUAGCAUAUCAGAAGGCACACCCGGAGAACUGAAACAUCUUAGUACCCGGAGGAAGAGAAAGAAAAUUCGAUUCCCUUAGUAGCGGCGAGCGAAACGGGAAGAGCCCAAACCAACAAGCUUGCUUGUUGGGGUUGUAGGACACUCUAUACGGAGUUACAAAGGACGACAUUAGACGAAUCAUCUGGAAAGAUGAAUCAAAGAAGGUAAUAAUCCUGUAGUCGAAAAUGUUGUCUCUCUUGAGUGGAUCCUGAGUACGACGGAGCACGUGAAAUUCCGUCGGAAUCUGGGAGGACCAUCUCCUAAGGCUAAAUACUCUCUAGUGACCGAUAGUGAACCAGUACCGUGAGGGAAAGGUGAAAAGCACCCCGGAAGGGGAGUGAAAUAGAACCUGAAACCGUGUGCUUACAAGUAGUCAGAGCCCGUUAAUGGGUGAUGGCGUGCCUUUUGUAGAAUGAACCGGCGAGUUACGAUUUGAUGCAAGGUUAAGCAGUAAAUGUGGAGCCGUAGCGAAAGCGAGUCUGAAUAGGGCGUUUAGUAUUUGGUCGUAGACCCGAAACCAGGUGAUCUACCCUUGGUCAGGUUGAAGUUCAGGUAACACUGAAUGGAGGACCGAACCGACUUACGUUGAAAAGUGAGCGGAUGAACUGAGGGUAGCGGAGAAAUUCCAAUCGAACCUGGAGAUAGCUGGUUCUCUCCGAAAUAGCUUUAGGGCUAGCCUCAAGUGAUGAUUAUUGGAGGUAGAGCACUGUUUGGACGAGGGGCCCUCUCGGGUUACCGAAUUCAGACAAACUCCGAAUGCCAAUUAAUUUAACUUGGGAGUCAGAACAUGGGUGAUAAGGUCCGUGUUCGAAAGGGAAACAGCCCAGACCACCAGCUAAGGUCCCAAAAUAUAUGUUAAGUGGAAAAGGAUGUGGCGUUGCCCAGACAACUAGGAUGUUGGCUUAGAAGCAGCCAUCAUUUAAAGAGUGCGUAAUAGCUCACUAGUCGAGUGACACUGCGCCGAAAAUGUACCGGGGCUAAACAUAUUACCGAAGCUGUGGAUUGUCCUUUGGACAAUGGUAGGAGAGCGUUCUAAGGGCGUUGAAGCAUGAUCGUAAGGACAUGUGGAGCGCUUAGAAGUGAGAAUGCCGGUGUGAGUAGCGAAAGACGGGUGAGAAUCCCGUCCACCGAUUGACUAAGGUUUCCAGAGGAAGGCUCGUCCGCUCUGGGUUAGUCGGGUCCUAAGCUGAGGCCGACAGGCGUAGGCGAUGGAUAACAGGUUGAUAUUCCUGUACCACCUAUAAUCGUUUUAAUCGAUGGGGGACGCAGUAGGAUAGGCGAAGCGUGCGAUUGGAUUGCACGUCUAAGCAGUAAGGCUGAGUAUUAGGCAAAUCCGGUACUCGUUAAGGCUGAGCUGUGAUGGGGAGAAGACAUUGUGUCUUCGAGUCGUUGAUUUCACACUGCCGAGAAAAGCCUCUAGAUAGAAAAUAGGUGCCCGUACCGCAAACCGACACAGGUAGUCAAGAUGAGAAUUCUAAGGUGAGCGAGCGAACUCUCGUUAAGGAACUCGGCAAAAUGACCCCGUAACUUCGGGAGAAGGGUGCUCUUUAGGGUUAACGCCCAGAAGAGCCGCAGUGAAUAGGCCCAAGCGACUGUUUAUCAAAAACACAGGUCUCUGCUAAACCGUAAGGUGAUGUAUAGGGGCUGACGCCUGCCCGGUGCUGGAAGGUUAAGAGGAGUGGUUAGCUUCUGCGAAGCUACGAAUCGAAGCCCCAGUAAACGGCGGCCGUAACUAUAACGGUCCUAAGGUAGCGAAAUUCCUUGUCGGGUAAGUUCCGACCCGCACGAAAGGCGUAACGAUUUGGGCACUGUCUCAACGAGAGACUCGGUGAAAUCAUAGUACCUGUGAAGAUGCAGGUUACCCGCGACAGGACGGAAAGACCCCGUGGAGCUUUACUGUAGCCUGAUAUUGAAAUUCGGCACAGCUUGUACAGGAUAGGUAGGAGCCUUUGAAACGUGAGCGCUAGCUUACGUGGAGGCGCUGGUGGGAUACUACCCUAGCUGUGUUGGCUUUCUAACCCGCACCACUUAUCGUGGUGGGAGACAGUGUCAGGCGGGCAGUUUGACUGGGGCGGUCGCCUCCUAAAAGGUAACGGAGGCGCUCAAAGGUUCCCUCAGAAUGGUUGGAAAUCAUUCAUAGAGUGUAAAGGCAUAAGGGAGCUUGACUGCGAGACCUACAAGUCGAGCAGGGUCGAAAGACGGACUUAGUGAUCCGGUGGUUCCGCAUGGAAGGGCCAUCGCUCAACGGAUAAAAGCUACCCCGGGGAUAACAGGCUUAUCUCCCCAAGAGUUCACAUCGACGGGGAGGUUUGGCACCUCGAUGUCGGCUCAUCGCAUCCUGGGGCUGUAGUCGGUCCCAAGGGUUGGGCUGUUCGCCCAUUAAAGCGGUACGCGAGCUGGGUUCAGAACGUCGUGAGACAGUUCGGUCCCUAUCCGUCGUGGGCGUAGGAAAUUUGAGAGGAGCUGUCCUUAGUACGAGAGGACCGGGAUGGACAUACCUCUGGUGUACCAGUUGUCGUGCCAACGGCAUAGCUGGGUAGCUAUGUGUGGACGGGAUAAGUGCUGAAAGCAUCUAAGCAUGAAGCCCCCUCAAGAUGAGAUUUCCCAACUUCGGUUAUAAGAUCCCUCAAAGAUGAUGAGGUUAAUAGGUUCGAGGUGGAAGCAUGGUGACAUGUGGAGCUGACGAAUACUAAUCGAUCGAAGACUUAAUCAA
rnacentral:rRNA from 1 species